rnacentral:rRNA from 1 species
UACGUAGGGAGCAAGCGUUGUCCGGAAUCAUUGGGCGUAAAGCGCGCGUAGGUGGCCAUUUAAGUCCGCUGUGAAAGUCAGAGGCUCAACCUUUGAAAGCCGGUGGAUACUGGAUGGCUAGAGUACGGAAGAGGCGAGUGGAAUUCCUGGUGUAGCGGUGGAAUGCGCAGAUAUCAGGAGGAACACCAAUAGCGAAGGCAGCUCGCUGGGACGUUACUGACACUAAGGCGCGAAAGCGUGGGGAGCGAACAGG